CUUCUCCCUCACUUUCUCAGAAGAAACGGAUGCUGAUUUAUCAGGCCAUUGCACACUAAUCUAAAAAGUCCAGCUCUUCACAGAAAGACAAGUCCCUUUUGUGUCUCAGCACUUCUGAUGAGCAGAAACUGCUGUGAACCAGUAAACUUCAGCAUCCAGUUGUAAUGAUGGAAAAAAUACUUACACUAUAAAUUUUAAAGGAGGAGGAAGGAGAUCAGCCCUGUGGAAGCCACACAGGAGUUUGCAGAAGGCUGUGCCACCUGUGAGUGCCAAACUGCAGUUCCAAGUAAUCUGCUCGGCCAGUAAUGGAAUGAAGAAGGGAAUACAACCCUAAACUACCUUUACUU